rnacentral:rRNA from 1 species
UACGGGGGGGGCAAGCGUUGUUCGGAAUUACUGGGCGUAAAGGGUGCGUAGGCGGCUUUCUAAGUCGGAUGUGAAAACUCUGGGCUCAACCCAGAGCCUGCAUCCGAAACUGGAGAGCUAGGGUUCUGGAGGGGAAAGCGGAAUUCCUGGUGUAGCGGUGAAAUGCGUAGAUAUCAGGAGGAACACCGGUGCGAAGGCGGACG